rnacentral:rRNA from 1 species
GUGGGGAUGCGGAGCAGCCUGACGCAGCACGCCGCGUGGGCGAAGAAGGUCUUCGGAUCGUAAACCCCUUUUCUCUCGGACGAGGAAGGACGGUACGGGAGGAAUAAGCGUCGGCUAACUACGUGCCAGCAGCCGCGGUAAAACGUAGGACGCAAGCGUUAUCCGGAUUUAUUGGGCGUAAAGGGCGUGUAGGCGGCGUCUUAAGUUGGGCGUGAAAUCUUCCGGCUCAACCGGAAGGGUGCGUCCAAUACUGGGACGCUUGAGGGCAGCAAAGGGAGGUGGAAUUCCCGGAGUAGGGGUGGAAUGCGUAAAUAUCGGGAGGAACACCAGUGGCGAAGGCGGCCUCCUGGGCUGUACCUGACGCUGAAGCGCGAAAGCGUGGGGAGCAAACGGGAUUAAAUACCCCGGUAGUCCACGCCGUAAACGAUGGAUACUAGGUGUCGGUGGUAUUGACCCCAUCGGUGCCGCAGCUAACGCAUUAAGUAUCCCGCCUGGGGACUACGGCCGCAAGGCUAAAACUCAAAGGAAAUUGACGGA